AGAAAAAAAAAGAAAAGUGAGGGUGGAGGGAGGGAGAGCACGACGUGCGCGCACCCUCUCCCCUUGUCCACUGCUGCCGCCUCCUUCUUCUGCCGCUCCUGGUGCUGCUUGUGUGCUCGUUUGGAGCGGACCUGGUACCUCUUUUGUGAAGCGGCAGCUGAGGAGACUCCGGCGCUCGCCAUGGCCGAAGAAAAGCCCAAGGAAGGAGUCAAGACUGAGAACAACGAUCAUAUUAAUUUGAAGGUGGCGGGGCAGGAUGGUUCUGUGGUGCAGUUUAAGAUUAAGAGGCAUACACCACUUAGUAAACUAAUGAAAGCCUAUUGUGAACGACAGGGAUUGUCAAUGAGGCAGAUCAGAUUCCGAUUCGACGGGCAACCAAUGAAACAGACACACCUGCACAGUUGGAAAUGGAGGAUGAAGAUACAAUUGAUGUGUUCCAACAGCAGACGGGAGGUGUCUACUGAAAAGGGAACCUGCUUCUUUACUCCAGAACUCUGUUCUUUAAAGACCAAGAUUACAUUCUCAAUUAGAAAACUGCAAUUUGCUUCCACCACAUCCUGACUACUACCGUAUAGUUUUCUCUAUUCUUUCAUUUCCCCCUUCCCCAUUCCUUUACUGUACAUAAAGUAACUGGUAUAUGUGCACAAGCAUAUUACUUUUUUUUUUUAAAACUAAACAGCCAAUGGUAUGUUUUGAUUGACAUCAAGUGGAGACGGGGCGGAAAAAUACUGAUUCUGUGAAAAUACCCCCUUUCUCCAUUAGUGGCAUGCUCAUUCAGCUCUUAUCUUUAUAUUCCAGUAAGUUAUUUUGCUCUCACUGUUUUAACAACAACAACAAAAAAACAACAACAUAAAAAUCCUUGCAUACCUUGUUCAAUUGGAGAAUUUUAAUGUUUUUCAUUUAUCAUUGUAAAACCAAGGACAAUUUUAUAACUUUUUUGUACUUAGCUGUUACAUGCAGAGCAAUCUGUCUUUAAGUAGGGAUAAAUUACUCUAAAACAAAAAAGAAUCCUAGAUAGUUUUCCCUUCAAGUCAAGCGUCUUGUUGUUUAAAUAAACUUCUUGUUUAAAAAAAAAAAAAG
rnacentral:lncRNA from 1 species